rnacentral:lncRNA from 1 species
CUGAUUAACUGGUUUCUAAAGAACGGAAUUCAAAGCUUGCUAAUGGAAGUUAAGUUAAGCUACUGAUCAAAACACAACUAGCAAUUCUAAACUCAGUAGCACGAGCUGCAAGUAAGAAAAUGCAACAGCCGGCUUUACAACCUUAAACACCCAAGACUUAACUUGUCGUAACUCCCGAUCGACUCCGUUCCUCUCCUGCUGACCACCGUAGCUACCAGCGAAACUUGAUCACCGUGAUGAGUGUUGAUGCUCCAGCUCCAAUCGUGCGAAUGCCUUCUCAUUUGCACACCCAGCUUGUCGUGUUGAUCUCGGUAGAAAACGCAAGGUCCUCGUUGGUAGAAGAUGUGAAUUUAUACUGUAAGAUCUUUCUUUGUGUUCACGCUGAGAUGCCAUACAACCCCCUGAUCUUCUCGUCCACGCACUCCUUCUCUUCAACGCAGUCGACCGCCGAAC